GACCAGCUGACAUGUCAGUGAUUCUCUUGUUAACACAGGUGUGAGUGUUGACAAGGCUGGAGAUCACUCUGUCAUGCUGAUUGAGUUGGAAUAACAGACUGGAAUCUUCAAAAGGAGGGUGGUGCUUGAAAUCAUUGUUCUUCCUCUGUCAAUCAUGGUUACCUGCAAAGAAACACAUGCCGUUGUCAUUGCUUUGCACAAAAAGGGCUUCACAGGCAAGGAUAUUGCUGCCAGUAAGAUUGCACCUAAAUCAACCAUUUAUUGGAUCAUCAAGAACUUCAAGGAGAGUUGUUCAAUUAUUGUGAAGAAGGCUUCAGGGCACCCAAGAAAGUCCAGCAAGCGCCAGGACCGUCUCCUAAAGUUGAUUCAGCUGCGGGAUCGGGCCACCACCUGUACAGACCUUGCUCAGGAAUGGCAGCAGGCAGGUGUGAGUGCAUCUGCACGCACAGUGAGGCGAAGACAUUUGGAGGUUGGCCUGGUGUCAAGAAGGGCAGCAAAGAAGCCACUUCUCUCCAGGAAAAAUCAUCAGGGACAGACUGAUAUUCUGCAAAAGGUACAGGGAUUGGACUGCUGAGGACUGGGGUAAAGUCAUUUUCUCUGCUGAAUUUCCUUUCCGAUUGUUUGGGGCAUCCGGAAAAAAGAUUGUCUGGAGAAGACAAGGUGAGUGCUACCAUCAGUCCUGUGUCAUGCCAGCAGUAAAGCAUCCUGAGAUCAUUCAUGUGUGGGGUUGCUUCUCAGUCAAGGGAGUGGGCUCACUCACAAUUUUGCCUAAGAACACAGCCAUGAAUAAAGAAUGGUGCCAACACAUCCUCCGAGAGCAACUUCUCCCAACCAUCCAGGAACAGUUUGGUGACUAACAAUGCUUUUUCCAGCAUGAUGGAGCACCUUGCCAUAAGGCAAAUGUAAUAACUAAGUGGCUCGGGGAACAAAACAUUGAUAUUUUGGGUUCAUGGCCAGGAAGCUCCCCAUACCUUAAUCCCGUUGAGAACUUGUGGUCAAUCCUCAAGAGGCGGGUGGACAAACACAAACCCACAAAUUCUGACAAACUCCAAGCUUUGAUAAUGCAAGAAUGGGCUUCCGUCAGUCAGGAUGUGGCCCUGAAGUUAAUUGACAGCAUGACAGGGCGGGUUGCAGAGGUCUUGAAAAAGAAGGGUCAACACUGCAAAUAUUUUCUAUUUGCAUCAACUUCAUGUCAUUGUCAAUAAAAGCCUUUGACACUUCUGAAAUGCUUGUAAUUAUACUUCAGUAUUCCAUAGUAACAUCUGACAAAAAUAUCUAAAGACACCGAAGCAGCAAACUUUCUGAAAAUUAAUAAUUGUCAUUCUCAAAACUUUUGGCCACGACUAUACAGUAUGAUGAGGAAUAGACCCAUCAAUCUGUUACUGGCUACAUCGGGGUUGUUUUCUUGACUGAUAAACAUGCAGUUGUGAAAUGGAGAACUUAUGUUGGAGGAAAUAUAUAUUUUAUUCAGCACAUAUGGAAGUGGUUCACUAUGUGGGUGCUAAAACAGACUGAUUCACUUCUCACCAGGUUCAUCUUCAUUAGGGCACAUCGUACCAAAACGUUUUGCAAAAGAAAAUUUAAACAUGCCGUUAUUGGACGGGUCCAAGUCGUAUUUCCCAGUUUCAUUCCGUUUGGUGCCUAAUGAACAUGACCCAGGUUUUCAUAGGGAGUUUCCUUUUUAUAAAAUCGGUCCCGUUCUUGUAAUACCUUAAGCUUUUAAGCAUUGUGCUUGUUCGACAUUGCAACUGCCAACUAACUGGUCUACAAAUGACCUGCAAUGCUGAACCAACCCAUUGUGUGACUGCUGAUUUGUUUAUUUCCCUCUCCUAUGAGAUUUCUGUUUUUCUUUAACUCUGGUGCUCAUUGACGCAAUUAUGUAUUAACUAGGGCCCAGCUGACAUUCAAAUCUAUAUCUUUUAACCUGAUUUAAUUUGCCUUACUUGUAAUAUGUAUGGAGAAGGCUAUACCUAUAGUGCACCAAAUAACAACCCUUAGUAGUCGUAAAGAACCAUAUUUUCUAUUUCUGAACGCACCUAAACCAAUGAACGUCUUCUGCACAGAGAGCUCAGAGGCUACUCUCCACUUUAACUCAGACUCUGCACGUUAAUUCCCCUCACAUGAGAGAAGGGGGUCUGAAUUUGGGUGUCAACCUCAUUGGCUAGUUCCUUCAGCCCACUAAUCGUGUUGCUCCGUGUAAUUCUCCCCAUGGCCCCAGAGAUGAGCGCUAACACCGUGACAUAGCCAGGCACGGCUUAUUGCUGGCUGAUGAGAAUCAUAAAUCUAAGCACAUCUUCAGUAGUGUGUGUCACAGGAUGGACAAGGUGUGUGCGUGUCUGGUUGCAUGUGUACCAGUGUCUUGACAGUGUUUUGUUGUGUACAUAGUGUGUCUCUCUCUUUAGGGGGGUGGUAAUGUCUGCUCAAAGUGGGUCAUGGUUUUAUUAGGCUCCUUUGCAGUGAUGUGCAGACAGGACUCACUACCUGAGGAAGAAACCAACAUGUAUGGCUGACAAGGGGAUUAGGGAGAAGUUGCCCCUAGAUACUCUUCUUGGGUCAGUUUUGGGCUCACUUUUCCUGACCAAUCUCAAUCUGUGAGGAAAGGUUUCAAAGUUUUACUGUCUUGUCCUGAAGUUCAGUAAGUGGGCAGUCUCUAACCUGUUGUUUAUUUACCACUUCUUUCCUCAUAAAACAUGCACACACAUUCUAGUGCCAUUUCCCCCUAGUCUAGAUAGUUUUUUGUUUUUUUUCCCCCAUUGCGGUCCAUGAGUCCCCUGCUUACUGGUUUCAGUAGCUCACCAGUCAUUGCCAUCUCACACAUCAAACUAGUAAGAGCCCGUUUGACUCCAAACAUCUUAAUUGAGGAUGGUCAAUUAUGGAUUGAAAGAUCAAGGGCCAGUGUUGAUCAGUCCUGUCUUGCAGAUGUGAGCUAGCAGCCAUCGUGAAGUUAUGUCACCAUCCCUGAGACCUGAAGCAACAGCUCUUCCUUUGCCCAACCAAGACUAAUUUUGUCCGCUACUGGUAUGAAGUGUUGCUGGCGUGGGAUUGAAUUCUGCCUCAACUGUCGGUCAUAACUGGUAGUUCUAGCAGUGGGAUGAUCAGUCCUAGAAGCCCUUCGCCAUCUAUCAGGAGACACUACAGCUUUCCUCCAUUGUUGCCCUCUCUUAUUUCUGCUCUCUGCUUUAAUGAAACAAUCUAUCCAACCCUCCUGUAGCACACUGUGUGUUGGUGCUUGCGCAUGCGUGCAUUCUAACUUUAUCAGAUAAUAGAGCUGUCAGCUCCACUGUCACACUGCAGGCGUACAGCAGGGCAAGAAUGGUGUGGCCACUCUGCCCUGGGAGCAUUAGUAUCUGUCUGCAUCAGGCACACAUCACUGAACCCAGGCACAGACAAACAUUUGGAGGUGGGGGGCGCUAUGGGCGGAUUAGAUAUUUUGGGAAAUGGCUAAUAUGGCCUGCUGGAUGCUGCUGUUGCAAUUCCACACGGUGGCCAUUUUGGUGCAAUGUUUCAUCAGCUGAUAAGGGGCCCAUACAAAUGUGUCGUCUGCUCCUGGUGGGGGAGCUGGAUGAGGUUCAUAUCACUUGGUGAUGAUGCCUGGAGGGGUGUGUCUGUCUGAAUGUGGGUCUGUCAGUCUCUUGCUCUGUCUGCUUGCCUAUGUGUGAGAGCCCGAAACACACACAACCACUGAUUUGUCAACCCGACCGUCUGCGCUCAUGAGGUUAUUCGCGGCUAGCAUUAAUUUGUGAUGUUAUCCUCUACUCAUCAGCCACCCUGCUAAAUAUGUUACUAGCUGCCCUGUCAGGGUUGGUGACUCACUGCACAUCAGGUCCCUAUACCUCUGUGUUUGUGUGUUAAGAGUAGAGCAAGACACACCCAUUCUCUAUCAAACCUGUCCCUUCUACCCCACCCCAGAAUGGAUACUGGCCCAAAUAAUUUUCAAUGGCCACUUUUAUAUUUUUAGCUCACUGUUACCCAUGGAAGUUUGGAGUGGAGAUAACUUGCUCACCUCAUGCUUACGGCACUUGAGCCACUGUACCAGCUGGGGAUCUGUAAAAUUCACUCUGCUUGAAGGGUCUCCACUUGCGCUGCUGAAUAGCUAGUUUUCUGUGGCACGACUGGGUAACAUGCCAAAGGUACUACGUUCGAGCCUUGGUAUGAGCUGAAUCAGGAGGAAGGAUUACUCGCUAAGCAAGCAGCUUGAAGUCCUUUACACCACCAGCAGGAGUAGUAUCACCAGUGAUUGAAAUCCGAUGACACAUUUUUGUAAUUUAGGAUUUUCUUAAAUAGUUUUGAGCAUGUGUGGCCUCCAAGGUCAUUAACCCUUUAAAAUAAUUUACUAAAGCAAUUAAUAAUUUUGCCAUGAAUGUAAUUUCCCUUCAUUUAAAUGAAGUAACACCAUUGACACUUUUUAGACAUUUUAUCAAUGGAAUCCUUACAUUUGACAUACUAAAAGUGUGUGAUCAGCUAAUGAUUUCCUUUUAAUAUAGACCCCUUCUCUGAUAAGUUUGCCAAUGGAGGGAAGGUUCAAGAUCCUAGUAUAUAUUUGAAAUGAGUGAUUUUUAAGGCAUUAACUCCAAUGACACAACAUAGGGACUCAUAGAUUUGUUAAAAAGUGAUUGAAUGGAAUCUUAAGCACUUACAAACUUGUAACAUUGUACAAAUUGGAGUUUGUAUCAUCGAACGAAUUGCAUAUUACUUUUUUUUUUUUUAGGACAUACCAUCUCAUACAAAAUGGAUGACGUUCACAACUGUACACAAAUUUCAGAGAAUUUUGCAGUCCAUCCAACCGGCCUCAUCACUGCAGACCACGACCUCCACAUCCGGCUUCUUCACCUGCAGGAUUGGCUGAGACCAGCCACCCGGACAGCUAAUGAAACUGAGUGUUUGUCUGUAAUAAAGCCUUUUUGUGAUUGGCUGGG